rnacentral:rRNA from 1 species
UGCUGGAGGUAUCAGAAGUGCGAAUGCUGACAUAAGUAACGAUAAAGCGGGUGAAAAGCCCGCUCGCCGGAAGACCAAGGGUUCCUGUCCAACGUUAAUCGGGGCAGGGUGAGUCGACCCCUAAGGCGAGGCCGAAAGGCGUAGUCGAUGGGAAACAGGUUAAUAUUCCUGUACUUGGUGUUACUGCGAAGGGGGGACGGAGAAGGCUAUGUUGGCCGGGCGACGGUUGUCCCGGUUUAAGCGUGUAGGCUGGUUUUCCAGGCAAAUCCGGAAAAUCAAGGCUGAGGCGUGAUGACGAGGCACUACGGUGCUGAAGCAACAAAUGCCCUGCUUCCAGGAAAAGCCUCUAAGCAUCAGGUAACAUCAAAUCGUACCCCAAACCGACACAGGUGGUCAGGUAGAGAAUACCAAGGCGCUUGAGAGAACUCGGGUGAAGGAACUAGGCAAAAUGGUGCCGUAACUUCGGGAGAAGGCACGCUGAUAUGUAGGUGAAGUCCCUCGCGGAUGGAGCUGAAAUCAGUCGAAGAUACCAGCUGGCUGCAACUGUUUAUUAAAAACACAGCACUGUGCAAACACGAAAGUGGACGUAUACGGUGUGACGCCUGCCCGGUGCCGGAAGGUUAAUUGAUGGGGUUAGCGGUAACGCGAAGCUCUUGAUCGAAGCCCCGGUAAACGGCGGCCGUAACUAUAACGGUCCUAAGGUAGCGAAAUUCCUUGUCGGGUAAGUUCCGACCUGCACGAAUGGCGUAAUGAUGGCCAGGCUGUCUCCACCCGAGACUCAGUGAAAUUGAACUCGCUGUGAAGAUGCAGUGUACCCGCGGCAAGACGGAAAGACCCCGUGAACCUUUACUAUAGCUUGACACUGAACAUUGAGCCUUGAUGUGUAGGAUAGGUGGGAGGCUUUGAAGUGUGGACGCCAGUCUGCAUGGAGCCGACCUUGAAAUACCACCCUUUAAUGUUUGAUGUUCUAACGUUGGCCCCUGAUCGGGGUUGCGGACAGUGUCUGGUGGGUAGUUUGACUGGGGCGGUCUCCUCCUAAAGAGUAACGGAGGAGCACGAAGGUUGGCUAAUCCUGGUCGGACAUCAGGAGGUUAGUGCAAUGGCAUAAGCCAGCUUGACUGCGAGCGUGACGGCGCGAGCAGGUGCGAAAGCAGGUCAUAGUGAUCCGGUGGUUCUGAAUGGAAGGGCCAUCGCUCAACGGAUAAAAGGUACUCCGGGGAUAACAGGCUGAUACCGCCCAAGAGUUCAUAUCGACGGCGGUGUUUGGCACCUCGAUGUCGGCUCAUCACAUCCUGGGGCUGAAGUAGGUCCCAAGGGUAUGGCUGUUCGCCAUUUAAAGUGGUACGCGAGCUGGGUUUAGAACGUCGUGAGACAGUUCGGUCCCUAUCUGCCGUGGGCGCUGGAGAACUGAGGGGGGCUGCUCCUAGUACGAGAGGACCGGAGUGGACGCAUCACUGGUGUUCGGGUUGUCAUGCCAAUGGCACUGCCCGGUAGCUAAAUGCGGAAGAGAUAAGUGCUGAAAGCAUCUAAGCACGAAACUUGCCCCGAGAUGAGUUCUCCCUGACUCCUUGAGAGUCCUGAAGGAACGUUGAAGACGACGACGUUGAUAGGCCGGGUGUGUAAGCGCAGCGAUGCGUUGAGCUAACCGGUACUAAUGAACCGUGAGGCUUAACCUU